rnacentral:snRNA from 1 species
AGCUUUUCACAGUGGCAGUAUCAUAGCCAAUGAAGUUUAUCCAAGGCAUGAUUAUUGCUAAUUGAAAACUUCUCCCUAUUAGCUGGUGGGCCAGCAGCACAGGAAAUAACCUGAGCUUGCUGUUGCAG